CCUACGGGAGACAGCAGUGGGGAAUAUUGGGCAAUGGGCGCAAGCCUGACCCAGCAACGCCGCGUGAAGGAAGAAGGCUUUCGGGUUGUAAACUUCUGUCAAGAGGGAAGAGCAGAAGCCGGUAUCAUUUGAAUAAGCUACGGCUAACUACGUGCCAGCAGCCGCGGUAAUACGGAGGUGGCAAGCGUUGUCCGGAUUUACUGGGUGUAAUGGGCGUGCAGGCGGGAUGACAAGUCAAAGGUGAAAUCCCGCGGCUCAACGGCGGAACUGCCUUUGAAACUGGUUAGCUUGAGUACCUGAGAGGACAGCGGAAUUCCAGGUGUAGGGGUGAAAUGCGUAGAUAUAAGGAGGAACAUCAGUGGCGAAGGCGAAUAACUGGACGACAACUGACGGUGAGGCGCGAAAGCGUGGGGAGCAAACAGGAUUAGAUACCCGGGUAGUC
rnacentral:rRNA from 1 species